GUGCUCACGUUGGCAGCUCAUAUACUAAAAUUGGAAAGCUACAGAGAAGACUAGCAUGGCCCCUGUGCAAGUAUGACAUGCAAUUUGUGAAGAGUUCCAUAUUAAA
ensembl:snRNA U6 U6 spliceosomal RNA